UACAGAGACUGCAAGCGUUACUCGGAUUCACUGGGCGUAAAGGGAGCGCAGGCGGACCGAUGUGUCGGAUGUGAAACCCCAGGGCUCAACCCUGGGACUGCGUCCGAAACUGUCGGUCUAGGGACUCGGAGGGGCUAGUGGAAUUCCUGGUGGAGCAGUGAAAUGCGUAGAUAUCAGGAGGAACACCAACGGCGAAGGCAGCUAGCUGGACGAGAUCCGACGCUCAGGCUCGAAAGUAUGGGGAGCAAAAAGG
rnacentral:rRNA from 1 species